CACGGGAAGGGAAAUUCAAACAUCAAACAGGAUUGAUGGGUUUAUCAUCAUCGCACUACAUUACAGAGUGACCUCUGCAGACUGGAAAUUGGGUUACAUCAACAAACCUCACUUUAAAGUGUGAGAUGAAAGAGUGCCUCCCCUAACGUUUUGUGGUAUAACUGGCUCACGUUUAAAGAAAGUAUGCAGCCAGGUACCCGUGUCACAUUUCAAUCUGUGAUAUUGACAUGGAUGUGAAAACCCAAGCCUUUGAAACUGAGCCUUUCAUAAGUUCAACAAAAACCUGAAACGCACUCUCCUGCGAAGACCUGAAGGACAGAGAAGUGGAUAGUUUGACAAUUGCCUCAGCCCUGACACCACAGUCUACAGUGCAGAACCAGGUCUUAUAGUAGAAGUCCGGGAUCUUGCCAGGAGGAAAUCAUAGUUCCAGUUCCUGUGGGAUCACAUGGAGGCACCACUGGAAAAUCCACUGGAAUGAGCAGGCAUAGAACAGCAAGCAAGUCAGAAGAAAGAAACUGGUCGGGUAACUCCAUAUUCCUUUUUCAUGUCUAUCUAGUAUGUCUUCAUGUUGAGUGACUAGGAAAUGGAAAAUAAAGUACAGAUGAUGAAAAUGGACUAAAAAAUAAAAAUGAAUAAAUAAAGUACAGAGGAACAGAUGCCUGAAUACCACCACCCAUGGCAAUCACAGACCACCUAAGGAGACUCAGAGGCAGAAGAUUCAGAGAAGCAGACACAUCCAGGAAGAGGCUGUGACUGGCAGAACAGACUGCUUUCAACUUCAGGUAUGGGUCAUAGUACCAGUCCCAUAGAAAGAAGAACUGCUGAC
rnacentral:lncRNA from 1 species